GAUCCUGGCUCAGGAUGAACGCUGGCGGCGCGCCUAACACAUGCAAGUCGAACGGCACCCACCCUCGGGUGGAAGCGAGUGGCGAACGGCUGAGUAACACGUGGAGAACCUGCCCCCUCCCCCGGGAUAGCCGCCCGAAAGGACGGGUAAUACCGGAUACCCCGGGGUGCCGCAUGGCACCCCGGCUAAAGCCCCGACCGGGAGGGGAGUGGCUCCGCGGCCCAUCAGGUAGACGGCGGGGUGACGGCCCACCCGUGCCGACAACGGUAAGGCCGGGUUCGGUAGAG
rnacentral:rRNA from 1 species